UGACUCCUUGAGAGUCCUGAAGGAACGUUGAAGACGACGACGUUGAUAGGCCGGAUGUGUAAGCGCAGCGAUGCGUUGAGCUAACCGGUACUAAUGAACCGUGAGGCUUAACCUU
rnacentral:rRNA from 1 species